CUGAGGAAACAAUUCUGAAGUUUCACAUUCCCUGGCUAUUUGUUCCCUUAUUCACAAGCAGAAUCACUGGGCUGUCUGCAGAGCCCAUAUAUGCUACUACAAAGUUUCAGCAUGCAACAGUCCUAAAAACAUAAUGUCCACAGGGAGUGAACACUGCAUUUCGACUGUAUACAGCCUGACUAGGACCACAGACUAGAGAAGGAAGAGUGUCUCAAGGAGCUCAAGUGUGCUGCAGAGCUCAUCAUCUGCAAAAUAGAUCACUCAUCAUCUGCAAAGAACUUGGAGAACCUGAAGCGACAUACACAGGAAAAUUGCCAGUCCUCUGUUCAGUAUUCAUGUGUUUCCCAAGCAACUACCUACUGACAAGCAAUUACAUCCAAUUUCUUAAUAGCAGAAAGCGGGAGGACUAUUCCUGCAUGAAAAAUCUGAAGACAAUGGAGGGGAAUCAGCCAUACUUACAAGCUUCAUGAUUUUCAUUUAAUUAACCAAGGCUUCUCCCAUGUUUUUGAAUAGACUGUUAUUAAUUUCAAGCCUUUGGGUAAUACAAGAACUGGGAGCAAAGAAGGGGAAACAAAAAAUAAAAAAUAAAAACCACAAGUAAACACAGACCAUGUAUGUGUUUAAAACAAGAUUUUCAGACUUGUUUUGGAAAUAUCAAUGGAGAAUCCACCAUACCCCAGAGCUCCUAAUAACUUCCCCUUAUAUAUUUUAUAUUUGGCAUGCAAUCUGAAUUGUCUUGUUCCAGCUCUCAAUCAAUCACUGUUUCAACAUUUUCUACUGGAAUAAAAAAAAAUUAACUGAUUUAUAGUAUAUAACUUGAGUGAUCAUCUCAAGAUUAAAAUCUCUGAUUGCAUCACAUGUUCUCCAUUCCACAAAUUGUU
ensembl:lncRNA